UUGAAUGCCGAGGGGCGGUCUUCCCGAAUAAUGAAUGGGAUGUACCUGAGAUCCGAAAGGAGACCCUUGAACCUGAUCCAGGUAAUACUGGCGUAGGAACGGGCAGCACAUCCAAAA
rfam:Hydrogenovibrio marinus strain MH-110 scaffold00001, whole genome shotgun sequence.